rnacentral:lncRNA from 1 species
GGCAUUUGCAUCGAUAUGCGUGAGGAAGGGUAGCAGAAUUUUUAUCCAACUUCGCAGUAUUAAAGUUAUCCGAGGGGGGAGGCCGGAUUAUUAGUAUGGGUUAUUCCCACAAAAUAGCAUGUAGAAGUAGGAUUAAGUAGGAGUUGACCACAUUAAUAGAACAUGAUAUCAAACAUCACACUAACCUGUAUUAAUUUAAUUUAUC